UACUACGAUGGAGGGAGAAAUAUGAAUCCGCCACAAGACGUCCUGCAGUUUUCCUUCCCUCGCUCACUCGUCUUUCUGUCUACGGAGGAUUUUCAGAAAAUCAACUUCCACGCCUAGUUCUUCAACGAGUUCCACCAUCCAUUCUUAAUAUCCUCUGUGGACCUGUUUUAUUUUUCCUUCCAAUGACAAGAGCUCAACUCAAAGAACAGGCAGAUGCCAGUCUUGAGAUAAUUUCCAUCGGAUCAUUGUACAGUGGACACAUUGGGACAAGAAGUACUGGAGCAGCUCUAGGGUUUGUAUUCGAUUUAUUUUGCCCUGCAUAUUCUGAUCUAUAUGUCUGCUGUAAUUGAUUCCAUUUAUCGCGGUGGUGAUGUUGCUAUUUCCGAUUAUAUUUUUCUAUGUUUAUUUGAUAGUUUGCCUAUCACCUCAAGUGGAAAGCAUGUGAUGCUUGUAACAUAGUUUGUUCCCUUUGGAAUUCUGUUCUGUAUUUUUCGACUUGGUUGCUUUGAAAAGAUUUCUUUUCUGAUAAUUGGUUGUUUUGAAGCGAUUGCAAGCUUAUCUAGGUAGGUUUUGCGAUCUAGAAUUGGUAAAAAUUAGUUGAUCCCAAUUUGCAAGUAAAAUCAGAUUGUCUACUUCAUGAAGCUUAUCUGAUAAAUUAAUUUUGAGUAGUGCGAAUUUGUUGUAAAUUGGAUUUGGUAUUAAUGCACAGUAAAUUCCAUUUAGUGUCACCGCAAUCUUCAGGAGAGUCAAAUAUCCAGAGUUCCAAUAUCCAGGGAAACUUUGGACCAAUUGACGAAUUUGUCAAUUCGAACUGCUUGCUGAACUAAUUACCAUUUUUGUUAUUUUUCGAGUGGUUGUUGUAGUUGCAAAUUUAAUAUACCUGAAGAGGUGUUUUAGAUCAAGAACAGUAAAUGUCAAAGAGAGCUAGGAAUAUAGAUUUUGGAGUUUCAUGUGGUACUUUAAAUGUGUUUUAUGAAUUAUUUACUGAUGGAUAAUUAUGGAGUGACUUAUUUGUUAUCUAGGUGUGUCUAUUUCAACUCUGCAUUGUAGUAGAGAUAAAUCUGAUAUUGAUGAUUCCCAUUAUCUUUCUUUAUAAGAGAUUCUGCCAUUAGAGCUUCAAGAAGUUAAGAAAAGAUGCAUUUACAGGAUUCUAGAUAAGAAAUCUCAACCGAGGACCUACCGUAAUCAUUGCAUUAUUGUGUAGGGUAAAGAUCGAUUUCCCUAUCCAGAUGGGCAAUCUGGCUGGUCUCCAAAGGGGCUUUUAUUUAUGAUUUUGUCUAUGGAUGGACGUUCAUUUUCAGAGGAGAGGCUGCCUCCUCACUACAAUUUGGCACGGGAAACGCCUUCGUGCAAGGUUGAUGGAGUGGAGCUAUUGUGAGUCUGCUCCUGGUAGCAUGGAAAAGAAAAGUCUCAAUCAGUCUGAUAUCGUCAUAUCUGAAGAGUCGGUGAACUCCCUCCAGAAGAAAAUUUGCUCAUUGAACACGGACUCAGGCUCCAAAAGAAAUGAUUUUGAUUCAUUAGGACAAUACAUUGUGAAGUCAAUGAUGAUUUUUUGAUUCCACAAGCAAUUCCUCUGCUUAAGGAGAAUUCUAACCGGAAAAAGACAGCCAUUUCUAAUUUGAUGGAAAUACAAAAGACGUAUCGAAGAAAGAAGAUAGAGCAAAGCAGGAAUACAUGCACAUACUACAUGUGAAUUAAGAAUCUGCUGUCUCGAGUCUAGAGCUUUCCAAACACGGUCUUGACAAUUUAGAGGGUAAGCAACAUUAUGACCAUGCAUAAAUUAAUGGCAACUUCUCUUCUGUUGCAGACAAUGGUCAAGCCACUGGAAGCAAAAAGUCCCGUGACAGUGAAAUUGGUGGAAUGUGCAUGGAACAAGUCAGGAGGGUCAUUUGUACGUUUCAGAAUGUCCUCUCGGCUGUACCUCUUCUGGUAGAGUACUUUCUGAUGAAACUAUGCGUAAUAAUAAAAGGAUGGAUAAAUGCCCAUUAAAUCUUCAAAUAAAUUCCUUGAAAGUGGACAAGUAAACUCCUACGGAUUAUAUAGAAAGCAAUGCGAGAGCAACCUUGUUCGAGUGGAUCCUUUUCUCAACUCCCGCAUGCUCAGAAUGCAAAUGAUUCAAGUGUAAGAAGGACCUCCGCAUAUCCAGAGGCAUUAAAUAAGGAAGUCAUUGUAAGAAAAGAGGCUGCGGGAAUGGACACUGUGCCAUCUUCUCAAGUUCCAAGCAUUGUGUACAGUAGGAUAAGCUCAAAAUGUGUCUCAUUUGACUAAGGAAUACAAUCGCCCAUCCUAUGAAGCUUACAAUACUAGUUGCCUUGGAAAACAUUAUGGUGCGGAAACGUCUUCCACUGAAUCCCCACAUUCUUCUUAUAUCAAUCAGAUAAAGUAUGUCAUUGCAGUCCUUCAUUAGACCUAGAUGAAGCAUCACUGAGAGCCAACAAGAAGCAUAAUUCAGGACUUCUAGACACACCUGUUUUGAAGGAAGAUUUGGAAGUUGGAAGCGAACGGAAAACUUUGCCAGCAACUGUAAUGCAAGGGACUAUGUUAAAGAGCUGUUGUGUGCAAUGAGUACAAGCUCAAAGAACACCGAGGAACAUUCCUUACUUCAGCUAAAGGACUCUGCCAUAUGGCUGUUUGCCUCAACCAUAUCAGAUUCUCGAGAUUCACAUGACUAUUUACCAAUGGAUUGUCAGAUAAAUCAUGCAGAAUUGUGGAAACUAAUGCUACUUGCUGACAGUACGGUCACAUUUGGUGCGUAGCUGGAUUUAAGAGACUGCCACUGGGGCAUCAGCUGGUCGAGGUAUCAUUCGGACUCGGGUGGGCAUUGUCUACAGGAAAUAAAUUGGGCACUCUUCUUCGUUUUACAGGUGCAAGUGUUUUUUGUAUUGCAACUGAUAGUAAAGAGACAGGUGUGGAGGCUGUCGCGGCUGAUAGCAGGCAGCUGGUAUAUCUACUUUCAUCAGAUGGGAAAAGAUAGCAAUAAUGGCCAACCAACGAAGAAAGUUACUUGUAAGUUGCAUACUAUCAGCAAAUGUUUUAGUUUUGAGUUGGUUUCCUUCGUGAUCUUGAUAUGACAAUGUAGGAGUCUUUGUGACAUGGCUGCAUCAGAGCCGACGAUAAAUGUAAAAAUAAUCAUUCAUUUACGAAAAUAAAUGUU